AAGAAGACCAGGCUUACCAUGAAUGUGAAUUGUUAAGAUCUACACUUGUUCCCGGAGAUUGCAUAAACCGAUCAGUAAUGUUACCCGAACUUGAUGUCGGUGAUUGGCUCUACUACGAGGACAUGGGUGCUUACACUCUCAGUGUGGCUACAAUAUUUAACGGGCUGGACACAACUGCAAUGAAUUACCAUUGCUUGGAAGAGUUGUGGUACCAAGUGCAUCCGGAAGGCAAGUCGAACGAAAAGUCGAUCACAUGAUUAUCCCAGUGAACACACAAAUUACAUAUAUCCAUGGAUGAUAAAAACUACUUUCUUUCGUUAUUUACAUUGUAAUCCAUGAAGUAAAUUUUGUUAUCAAGACAAGAA
rnacentral:lncRNA from 1 species